CACUGCUCAGCUUUCUCACUGCAUCACAAUACACAAGGCAUCUAAGGAAACAGUUUUCCCAUCCCAAAUCACUAAUGAGCAUGAGUCACUGAAAAUGGUGAAGAAACUUUUUGCUACUUCCAUCUCAUGUAUAACAUACCUAAGGGGCCUGUUUCCAGAGAGCUCUUAUGGAGAACGCCAUUUGGAUGACCUCAGUUUAAAAAUCCUCCGAGAAGAUAAAAAAUGUCCCGGGUCACUGCAUAUUAUCAGAUGGAUUCAAGGUUGUUUUGAUGCUUUGGAAAAGAGAUACGUAAGAAUGUUUUUACACUUACACUGGAAUCAAAGGCUUGUCUUUUAUUCUUUAAAAAAAGAAAUUAGACAUUUAUUUUGUUUUUGUGUUUAACAGUAUAAGUGUCUACGUUUGCAUCCAUAAACUAAUUUCUUAUCUUA
rnacentral:sRNA from 1 species